AAAAGCGUGUUGCAACGUAAACAUAGACAUAAGUUUUGAGUAGUUGCGCUUCGUGGUGGACCAGACCCGUUAUUUGGAAUGACAGCAGCAUCGUUCAGCAAGUAUCACUUUAGAUAAUUUCUCGACUGUUUAUCGCAACGCUUUCAAAAAAUUGUAUAAACGACGAGAAAGUUGUUCGGAGUGCCGUACUAUGACAGGACUUCUCCUGCAUGUUGCAACCCAUGGGCCAGUCUCUCUGGUAUAGCCCGACUUCUGUGAAGCUCAUCUCAUACCACUCAGGAUGUGUGACCUUCCAACAUACUCUUACACCUCAUUGAGCAUGUCUGCAAGCACAACUCUUCAAGGCUGCGAGAUGUGGAACCAAGACAAAGCAAUGAAUCAUAAAGAGGUGCAACCUGAUAACUGUGAACAACCUGUAUUUU